ensembl:rRNA 5S_rRNA 5S ribosomal RNA
GCUUACGGCCAUACCACCCUGAGAACGCCCGAUCUCGUCCGAUCUCGGAAGCUAGCAGUGGUCUUUACUGGUUAGUACUUGGAUGGGAGACCGCCUGGGAAUACCAGGUGCUGUAAGCU